rfam:Pochonia chlamydosporia 170 PCv3seq00008, whole genome shotgun sequence.
CACCUCUUCCGACCUGACACAACAUCCUGCUGAGAUGUUGUCAGACCUGCAGUGUCACAAGUCGGCGAAGGUG